GCUUGUAAAUGGUUAUGAAAUAUGUGGUGUUGAUCUCUUAAUUAUGCCUCUUGAAAGUAGAAGGUUUAUGGUAUAAUGGGAUGUGUAUGAAUGGUUAUUUGGAAGGUUUGCUAUAUGUUUAAGGUGUGAACUUGUAGCAUUGUAAGUAAAUUGAUUUGGUGUAUGAAUUAUGGUGCCAAGUGAUGGCAUAUUGGUUAGGCACAUAGGUUGGUUGGUUUUGGC
rnacentral:lncRNA from 1 species